UUCCAAAUUUUCCUAUCCAUUUUUCUACUUCCCAUCUUUUGCAGAUAAAGUCAUGUUGAAGCCCUAAUGCCCAAAGUAUUUGGAGGUGGGACCUUUGGGAGGAAUUAAGUUUGAGGGAAGAACACUCAAAUGGAAUUAGUGCCCUUACAGAAGAGAUACAAAACAGAAGUUUCUCAGCCACAUGAAGACACAGCAAGAAGAGGAACUCAGACCAGUCUUUGGCUGCCAGGUCACACCCCCUGCAAAAGAUUUUGCUAGAAAAUAAGCAGCCUGGACAGUUUGCGGACAUCCAGGAGCUGAGAGGGAGCUGCCGGAAGUCACCAGUCCUGCUGUUAUCAUUUGUGUCACUUGCUUGUUUUACCUUUUUAUAUAGAAGAAAAAUCACAGUGGGGGUAUUUGUUGCAACUAAACCUCAAGGAUGUCUCUACAUCUUUCUCCAAGUUGGCCAACAGCAUGGUCCUGUCUAUACUCUAUCUUGGAUCCAAACCCACUGUGGUCUUAUAUGGAUAUGAUGCAGUGAAGGAAGCUCUGAUAGAUCGGGGUGAAGAAUUCCUUGACAGAUCUUAUGUUCCCAUUGCUGAGGAGACCCUAAAAGGAAAUGGAGAAACACAACCCAAAGUUCAUGAAGAAAUUGACCAUGUGAUUGGACAUCACCAAAUCUCCUGAAUGAAGGACAAGAUGAGGCUGCCUUAUACAGAGGCCGUGUGUUGAAUGAGAUA